CUAAUGCCGGAUAUUGUGUCCUACUGCAUAGUAGGUUAACGAAAGAUUUAUCGUUGUGGGAUGAGCUUGCGUCCGAUUAGCUAGUUGGCGGGGUAAUAGCCCACCAAGGCGACGAUCGGUAGCCGGCCUGAGAGGGUGAUCGGCCACAUUGGGACUGAGAUACGGCCCAGACUCCUACGGGAGGCAGCAGUAGGGAGUAUUGCGCAAUGGGGGGAACCCUGACGCAGCAACGCCACGUGUGGGAAGAAGCAUUUCGGUGUGUAAACCACUGUCGGAAAGGAAUAACGGAAGACUUCGGUCUUUAUGAAUGUACUUUUAGAGGAAGCACCGGCAAACUUCGUGCCAGCAGCCGCGGUAAUACGAGGGGUGCAAGCGUUGUUCGGAAUCACUGGGCGUAAAGGGAGCGUAGGCGGAAGUGCAAGCAAUCUGUAUAAUCCUGGGGCCCAACCCCAGUUCUGCAGAUUGGACUGUAUUUCUUGAAUAGUUCAGAGGCAAGCGGAAUUUCUGGUGUAGCGGUGGAAUGCGUAGAGAUCAGAAAGAACACCAAUGGCGAAGGCAGCUUGCUGGGGACUUAUUGACGCUGAGGCUCGAAAGUGUGGGUAGCAAACAGGAUUAGAUACCCUGGUAGUUCACACUGUAAACGAUGCAUACUGGGUGUCCGAAAUUCGUUUCGGGUACCGUAGCUAACGCGUUAAGUAUGCCGCCUGGGGAGUACGUACGCAAGUAUGAAACUCAAAGGAAUUGACGGGGGCCCGCACAAGCGGUGGAGCAUGUGG
rnacentral:rRNA from 1 species